rnacentral:rRNA from 1 species
CAGCAGCCGCGGUAAUACGUAGGGUGCAAGCGUUAAUCGGAAUUACUGGGCGUAAAGCGUGCGCAGGCGGUUUGUUAAGACAGAUGUGAAAUCCCCGGGCUCAACCUGGGAACUGCAUUUGUGACUGGCAAGCUAGAGUGUGGCAGAGGGGGGUGGAAUUCCGCGUGUAGCAGUGAAAUGCGUAGAUAUGCGGAGGAACACCGAUGGCGAAGGCAGCCCCCUGGGCCAACACUGACACUCAUGCACGAAAGCGUGGGGAGCAAACAGGAUUAGAUACCCCGGUAGUCCCUGUCUCUUAUAA